rnacentral:rRNA from 1 species
UACAGAGGGUGCGAGCGUUGUCCGGAAUUAUUGGGCGUAAAGAGCUCGUAGGCGGUGUGUCGCGUCGGCCGUGAAAACCUGCAGCUUAACUGUGGGCUUGCGGUCGAUACGGGCAUCACUGGAGUUCGGCAGGGGAGACUGGAAUUCCUGGUGUAGCGGUGAAAUGCGCAGAUAUCAGGAGGAACACCGGUGGCGAAGGCGGGUCUCUGGGCCGAUACUGACGCUGAGGAGCGAAAGCGUGGGGAGCGAACAGG